AGGAAUGGCUUUUCAGACAGGGACCAUCACGACACCAAGGGAGGUAAUGGCCAGCAGCGAGUAGGGAACAGUGAUUUGUUGGCUAGUUGGUGCCUGUCCUGCCUGCAGCACCGGGCUGGGAGCCCAGCUCGCCCUGGCCCAGCAGGGGGCAAUCCCAGCAAAGAGCUCAGGAAAUCAGUGCUGGUGCCGGGGUGCAAUUCCUCUGCAAAAAGGAAAGGCUGAAAAAGUAAUAGAGCCACAGCCAGGCAGCUGCUUGCAGCUCCCCGUGACCUUUGCUGCCUGCCCCAGCCCUGUGGGUGAGUGUGGGUUGAGAGCUGGGAGCAAGGAACGUGAGGGAAUGGCCCUCUUUCUAUGCAUUUUGGGUCAGCUUGUGACCUCAGGAGCUCUGCUCCAUUUCCAGAGGUUCCUUCCAAAGGUUUGUAAGGGUUAGGAAAGCAGGAUCAAGCGCCGCUGGAAAGAAGAGUCCUGAAAAGCAACCAGAUUCUGCAGACAUGGGGAUAUGGAAGGGACUCAUCCUGGGAGGAACAACCCAUCACCUCUGGCACCGUGCUCCAGCCUCCAGCAGGACUCUGCUCCGGGAUUGCUGGGGAUGCCGGCACAGAGGAGAGAUUUGCAUUCCCCCUGCUUGCCCUUGCCACGACUCAAUAACAAAAACCCAGGGUAGGGAAGGUGCCUGCCUCCAACGCUCUGCCUCCCACCACCUGAUCUCCCAGCCAUUCAGUCCCUCACUCCGCUUUCCAGGCAGCAGCAGGAGAGAGCCAGCCAGCUCCAGCCCAGGGGGAACAGCCUGGCCGAGACAAAGUCCAUCCAUUACAGAAGUGCAACCCCAGGCUGUGGGCAGCUGGAACUGCCUGUGUCCUGCAUGUCCUCCAAGGGGCCAGGGCUCAGGAAGACUGUCCCAGGGCACAGGGAGCCUGUCCCAGGGAAGGCUUUACCUUUCCUCGGCUACACCUACAGUACCACUGGAUGUCACUGUUGUUUCAUGAAAGACAAACCCUUACUGACAGCUUUUUUGACAGAUAAUGUUUAGUAAAUAAACAUGUAGGUAUUUAUAUUCCCGUUCCUGCA
rnacentral:lncRNA from 1 species